rnacentral:rRNA from 1 species
UACGAGAGGCCCAAACGUUAUUCGGAAUUACUGGGCUUAAAGAGUUCGUAGGCGGUUUGUCGCGUCGGGAGUGAAAUCCACUGGCUUAACUGGUGGCUUGCUUUCGAUACGGGCAGACUGGAGGUAUGCAGGGGAGAACGGAAUUCCUGGUGUAGCGGUGAAAUGCGCAGAUAUCAGGAGGAACACCGGUGGCGAAGGCGGUUCUCUGGGCAUGUCCUGACGCUGAGGAGCGAAAGUGUGGGGAGCGAACAGG